rnacentral:rRNA from 1 species
UACGAAGGGGACUAGCGUUGUUCGGAAUUACUGGGCGUAAAGCGCACGUAGGCUGAUAUGUAAGUCAGGGGUGAAAUCCCGGGGCUCAACCUCGGAACUGCCCUUGAUACAGCAUAUCUAGAAUCCGGAAGAGGUGAGUGGAAUUCCUAGUGUAGAGGUGAAAUUCGUAGAUAUUAGGAAGAACACCGGUGGCGAAGGCGGCUCACUGGUCCGGUAUUGACGCUGAGGUGCGAAAGCGUGGGGAGCAAACAGG